GUCGUAACUGAUUUUCCAUCAGCGGAUUUGAUUAAACCUGAAGAUGUCCUAUCAGAUUUUGGAUUUCGUCUUCCUUGCAAAGCAGUUGGUUCUUCACCUUUGCAGCACAAAUGGAAACUGAACGGACAGGACAUUGAGAAUGACUUUCACUUUAACAUCAUGAAGGACGGGACUCUCAAGGGAAGAUAACUUGAUGAUACUCACAGCGGAAUUUACCAGUGCUUCGUGAAAAACAGCUUCGGUGAGGAUUUCAGCAGAAAGUUGAAAGUCCGUGUUACAGUCGCCGGUCAAUUUCACUACGACAACGACAAAAACGCCCCAGUCACGCUUGGAAAACCUAUUGAAAUUCCUUGUCCGGACCACGACCCUAGUUUUGGUGUGAGGUAUCGCUGGGGCUUUUAUGAUUCUUCAGAUCCUUAUGCAUUCUAUCCUCUUCCCGAGGACAACCGUACAGCGGUUACAAUGGACGGAACACUUGUGAUCAUGUUUGUGAAGAAAGAAGACGUAAAAAAAGUGAAUGACAGGAAAGGAAUAGCUUGCGAGAUGUCGAUAAGUGAGGCGGCAAGAUACUCACAUGCGGUCAAAUUUCAUCUUACUGGAAAUGAAUCAACCGAAAAGGUAUCACCAGUUAUUUAUUUUGCACCGAAACACCUUGAAGAAGCUAGAGAAGGAUAUCCGAAGAAACUUCAUUGUUUGGCCGU